UCUACCUCUCUCUUCCUCUUCCUCUUUCUUUUGUCUCUCUCUAUAUAUUGUUCUCUUUUGAUUUCUGUGCAGAUGAAUAUGAUUUUGAUGGAGACGGUGAACACGUUGCUGAUGAUAUCGUGAUGUUGAUGGUUUGUUUGCUCAACCUGUGGAAUUUGUGGUCGGAGUUGAAUCGUAUACGAUGAAGAAGACGCCGAUUCUCCUCGGAUUUUAGAGGUUUGAUUUUUACUUUAUUGUUUUACAUUCAUUUCAAAAUCUUCAUAUCCUUCAGUUUUACCCUUUUCAGAUCUAUAACCGUUCAAUCGCAUCAAUCCAGAGCGAUUCGUUUUACCGAACCUUUUCAGAUCCCCUUUUCAUAUCGUCACUACUAUCCAUACCAUUGGUAAGAUUUUGUUACUAUGCUUUUAUUGAACGUGUUUGAUUGUAUGGUUAUCAUGAUGUGCGUUAGAUAUGCGGUGUUCAGUUUCACGGUGGUCGAUCUGCGGUGGCAACAACGUGUUUCCGUCAGUGCUUGUGGUGGUGGGAUUUAUGGUGCCAUGGCUGUUGCGGGGAGUUUUAUAUGUUCAAUUACCAUAAUUGACUCUGUUGGAGGUUUUCAUCUUUUAAUAGAUGUUGUUCUUUAAGAACUUGGAGAUGUCUUUCCUCCAAUUAUGUACAGAUAUGUGAGUUGAAAGUCGCGACGAGUGAAUGUGGACAACCUGACUCGGUGUUUGCGGAUUUGGCUUAGUCGGUAUCAGUUGAGCUGAUGAAGGAGAAGGAUUUUGAUAUGGCUGGUGAUACACGGGAUUGAAAUGGUCUCAGUUCAAACCUGGUCUCUGCAUCGGGGAAGGAGUUAAGUUGGAGACUUGUGGACUGCUGAAGUUACUCAUACUAUGGUAACAUGCAUCUGAAUCUUCCCUGCUUGCUUGGGAGGGUACGACCUGUUGGAAGGAGAUAGCCUUGAUGUCCCUACUGCAUCAUAUUUGUUAUAAAAUCCUUGGUUGCUAUUUGGGAUGCUUCUUCCACUCACAUUGCUACUUGAUAAAUGAUCUGCAUCAUAUCCACGUGAUCGGGAACUAAUUGGACAUAGCACAGAUGAUGAUGCUCUAGCUUUAGCUAAUGCCUUAGCAACAUCGUUGGAAUCUAAUUUUGCAAGUUUCCAUGCGCUUAUUCGCACUGGGCGAUGGUUCAAUUUUUUUCCUUUGUCAGGUGGUUGGUUGUAUUGCAUCUGGGUCCAUAGUAGAUGGUAGGCGGCCUGGCUCCAAUUGAUGUAUCAUUUCAUCCUGCUUAUUCAACUCCAGGCACUUGAUCAACACCCAAAAAUGAUUACCUAUUACUAAGAGUGAUUCUAUUAUGUUUUGUGCAUUAUUUUAUUCAACUCAAUUCUCCUUUCUUAUCUCACAGUAAUUAUUUAUUUUAUUUGUAAUGUUUAAAGAUAGGUUAUUCAUUUAAAACAGUUCCUAAUCAUAUAAUUCAAGCAAUUGUACAAAGAUUGCAGUACCUGGUGAUCUAUAAAUAUUCUCAGAGGCGUACACCAGGCACCUUCGAUUUGCAAACUCAUUCCGACAGAGCUUGCUAGGAUUCAACUUCCUGAAUUGAGAAAAUCUUGACUUGUGCAGGUAAUGUACUGGUAAUAGUCGUUGCCGCAGUCAGUUCGGUGAUCGUUGCGGUGGUUAGAGUGAUUAUUUUUUAAGGUCGCAGAAUAUUGCCGGAUCUAUCCCAUGAUUUGCUUUUAUUCUGUUCAAAAUGAAUGGCUAUGACAAGCACGUCAGGUUACAAGGGCUCCUCCUACUCAUAGCAAAGGAGAGUGAGCCUGAUAUCAUCAAUGGUGUGGGUGCUGAAACAUGACAUGUAAUAAGAACCAGCAUUGGUCGAUGAAAUGGUCAAUCUAAGCAAUCAUACUUACGAAGCCCUAGCUGAAGUCGAAAAAGAAAUCGAAGUCAUCCUACAGAUGUUGCUUCAUAUGUUAGGUGAAAGCUGAUGUAGAAACACAAGGUGAUUUUGUCACAUCCUUGGAAACUGAAGUUAGAGCAUCCUCCUUUACCGAUGUCAAUCACCUGGUUGCCUUUGUGAACUGGCUAGAUGAAGAACUUUCCUUCUUGGUAUGCAUACCUUUGAUUGUCAUUUCUCAACAUAUGAUAGAAAGUUCAUUCAUCUAAAAUUGAAAGAAAUGUUUGACUAAAAUUGGUAGUUAUUUGAGGAGUUCCAUUUAUAUCUCAAUUGAUUCCCUAUGAAAUGUAAGGUUAAUGAACGAGCAGUCCUGAAGCACUUCGAUUAUGUCUGAUGUUUUGAUGCAUUGGAGUUGUCAUUGAAUUAGGGUUUACAUCUCUGAACUUUGUUGUUUAGUAUCAAUUAUAUUCAUUUUACAAAGUUACCUGUUUUUUUAAUUUAGACUGUUAGGCUAUUGGGUCCUCCAACAAAAUUUGAAGAUUCAAAACUGAAGGUUGUUCUAUUGGAAGACCAGAUUAACAGAUAUGCAAGUAUUAUUCCAAGAAUCUACAUUCUAUCUCUCUGUGACUUAACAACUAAUCUCACUUUAGAUAUUUCCAAAUUCAUCAAACUCGCCAUGGUAUAAUUAUUAAUCAGUGUGGAACACAUUAUGACAGUCUUCUGAAUAGAUGACAUAUGGUAAACAUCUGUUGCAAUCUAAGUAAGGUGUUGUGUUUAUUUGCUUUGCUAAUUUUGAUUACUCUAUUUGAUUGUCACAGGUCAAUAUUAUGGAUACCUUAAGUAGACUUUCUAGGAAACUACCAUUCCCUUAUGCCACAAGUUCUUUUUAUAUCUUUGAUCAGAGUUGCAUUAUUUUAUGUUUUGUAUUUUAUAUCUAUCAAGUUUAUCAUUAUCAGUUUAUUGUUGUUAUAAUUCUCUCUUUUAUGUCGAUGGAAGCAUCGAGAAUGAACGAGACAGUGGUAUCAGCUGACACCUAUCGGGGUAGAAGAGAAUCAUUGAAGUCACUUGCACGGGAUGUUCUUGAUGGGAAUUGGCCAGAUGGAAAGUAUUUCAUAUCCAGACCAUGGUAUGAUAACAAAUCUUCUCUCAUGGCCUUCAUGCUUCCAAUGAUAAGGAAUGGGACAAGUGGUUCUAUUUCCUGUAGAGGUAAUGUGACUGAGAGUUCAAGAGUCACUACCAGGUAUGUCUUCUAAAUAAAUUUCGUUAAGAUAUGUUCUCUGAUUGAGUCUCUCUAUAUAGAGAUAUGUGCUAUACACCUAAACAUAUCUUUUUUGUUUAACACUCCACAGACAUUCCUUUGCUACCCUGUAGUUGGUUGUUGACAUCUUUAUCUUCCUUUAUGUUAAUAUGGAUGCUCUGGACAUUGAAAGCUGGAUGUUUAUUAGUGAUAUGAAUGUCCUAUAUUUUCUGUUGGUAUUUUCUUUGUGGAAGCUUCCAAAAUAAAGUAAUCCGAUUGAUUCAAUUGCUCCGCUGUGAUGAAAAAGUGUUGUCUCAAUCAAAAACACCAAAAUCAGAAUUGGCACUGAAACUGUAAGAAUCUUUCCUUGGUGUUAUUUUAACUUCUGCUAUUGUCACUUGUGGAAUUAUUUUAGUACUAAGGAUUCAAGGGGACAGUUUCUAUGGGAGAAAUAAUUUUGAUGAAUUUGAAAUGGAAUGGUCUUUCACUCCAUUCCAGAAGCUUAACUUCAACAUCAACAACGUGGUUUCAAAGUUGUCGGAUUCAAAUAUCGUCGGAAAGGGUUGCUCAAGCGUUAUUUACUGCGUAGAGACUCCGACAAAACAGAUGAGGCAUAAAAAUAUAGUAAGACUUUUAGGAUGCUGCAACAAUGGAGGAACUAGAUUGUUGUUGUUUGAUUACAUAUGUAAUGGAAGUUUGUUUGGAUUGCUCCAUGAAAAGAGAUUGUUCUUGGAUUGGGAUGCAAGGUAUAAGAUCAUACUUGGAAAAGCUCAUGGUUUGGAAUAUCUUCAUCAUGAUUGUAUCCCUCCAAUCGUCCAUCGCAACAUUAAGGCUAACAACAUCUUGGACGGUCCACAGUUCGAAGCUUUUCUUGCAGAUUUCGGCCUUGCAAAAUUGGUCACUUCCUCGGACUGCUCAAGAUCCUCGCAUGUAGUUGCAGGUUUGGUGAAACUAUAACAGAGGCAUGAGAGCUCAUCAUAUGGUGAUGGAUAGACAUAAUAGGUGAAGCACUUGAAGGUCCCAUUGGUUUGGCAUAUGGAAAGCAUGAAGAUGGUCGUGAUGAAAGUGUAGAGGCCUGAUGAAUUAGAUUCUUUCACUUUUCUUCUCUUUCACUCUUUCGAUUACGCUAUCUCAUCUUUUCAAUUUCAUAUUAAAUUGUUUGUUAUAGCUAAUUUCAUAGGUAAAUUAAUCAAAUCUGUUACAUUAUCUAAUUAAGUUAUUGGAAAUUAGAAAUGUUGCAGAUGGAGAAUUUCAUUAUUUAUCAACUCAAGAAUCAACAAAUAUAGAUCCACAUAAUUCAUAUGAUGAUAACACUUUAGAGGAUGAUAAAGAAUAUUUGCAAAAUGCAAUGAUAAAUGCACUGUUAGCAUAUGUUGAAGCAUCUAAGGCUAAAUCAGAUUUUGUUUAAAGAGAGAGUGUAAAUCACAGUUGUUCAAUUACUAAGUGUGUGAAUGCUCUUGAUGAGAUUGAAGAUGUUACUCUUGAUGUUUAUAUGAAGGUUGUGGAGAAACUUAUGGAUCCUAAUUGGAGAGAAGUGUUUCUUGCUAUGUGUAUUGAUAGGAGAAAAGGAUGGUUAGUUAGAGUUUAGGGAAAUUCAUGUAAUGCAUUGUGCACUUAUUGUUGUGUUUAUGCUGAACA